UACGAAGGGGGCUAGCGUUGCUCGGAAUCACUGGGCGUAAAGGGUGCGUAGGCGGGUCUUUAAGUCAGGGGGGAAAUCCUGGAGCUCAACUCCAGAACUGCCUUUGAUACUGAAGAUCUUGAGUUCGGGAGAGGUGAGUGGAACUGCGAGUGUAGAGGUGAAAUUCGUAGAUAUUCGCAAGAACACCAGUGGCGAAGGCGGCUCACUGGCCCGAUACUGACGCUGAGGCGCGAAAGCUAGGGGAGCGAACGGG
rnacentral:rRNA from 1 species